ACAACAGCACUGUGAAUUAGAUCUAAAAACAGAAACUGGCACUCUUCCUAUCAUUGCGAAGCAGAAUUCGCCAAGCGUUGGAUUGUUCACCCACUAAUAGGGAACGUGAGCUGGGUUUAGACCGUCGUGAGACAGGUUAGUUUUACCCUACUGUUGACUAAUUGUUGCGAUAGUAAUCCUGCUUAGUACGAGAGGAACAGCAGGUUCAGACAUUUGGUUCAUGGACUUGACCGAUCGGUCAAUGGUCCGAAGCUACCAUCUGGGGGAUUAUGACUGAACGCCUCUAAGUCAGAAUCCCACCUAGUCAAGGCAGCGAUAACUUUGUUUCCCGGUGUCGGGAGGCAAUUCUAUCUCGUGGCAACACGAGAGCUUAUGCCCUAAUAAAUGACCCUGCCGGUAUGGAUAAUCCCUGCUGGUUGUCAAAGCCAGAUCACUCUGGUUCAAUGUCGGGGCGCAAAAUCACGCCAAAAAGAUACUGAGACAGGAUUCUGAGACAGAUCAAAGAGGAUUUUAGGUUUCUCCGGUCUGACUGACAAGUCCCAAACCUUGGACGAGCAAACGAAUCAGCAAGGGAGAAGACUUUAUAGGAAAUAAAUUGAAAUUAACCUGCAGUUGGUAUAUAAUCCACUAUAAUCUAAACAAAAUCCCGAACAGAAAUAUAAAUCUAAACAAACAUAAAUUCCAUUGAGUAACUGAAACGGAAUCGUAUAUAAGGAAUGUUUAAUAGAGAAUGGUAAAUCGCAUGGCCAAAGAUAAAUUAAGGAAUUACUAACGAACCAGUACCACAACCUAGAUCUGACCGAAUAUUUGCGAUGAACCUAUAUAUAAUACUGUGUUGCUGAAACUACUGAAACAAGUAGAACCUUCAAGGGAAGGCGUGUCAAUUGAAUUGUCUGGCAAAAUUUGGAAAUUAAUGACUAUGGUAGUUGUGGCUGUAUGAGAUUGUUUAUCGAUUUAAAAUGCACCAAACUGCCCAGAACCAAGAAAUCAGAAAGGAAACACUGGUACAAAAAGUGUCUUUAGGUGUGGAGAUUAUACAACGAGAAAAGAAAGUUACAUCGAGAGCUAAUCUAUUAGGCAAACGAAAGUCAAAUCAAAUUGAAAAGAGUAUUGUUCUAUGGAAAAGAAUAUUUAAAAAAAUAACAAGGUCUUCCCAAAUCACCGCUGAAGAAUGGUGCUUUAUUAGAAAGAGUCCGGAGAAUCGGUUCUUGCAUUAUACAGUGCUUAUCAAAAGUAUAAGACCACCCCCCAAAAUUGUAGAUUUGGCUUUUUGACGGCAUUUCGCGAUGUGGGGUUAUUUUUACUGAAUUCCUCAUGGUCGAAAACCAUACCAAGAAUUUGUUCACAGACAUCUGCAAAGUAAGAAAUUUUUUAAGAAAAAUCUUUGAUUUCCCACCUUAUCAAAAGUAUAAGACCACUAGCGAUGGUCGUUUGUUAUAAUUGCGGUUUCACAACUUGGAUAAACCCAGUCCGUACACAUUGACUCUACUAUUAUCUACUGUCAUAUUGUCAACAUGUCCCGUGGUACCCGGCUAUCUUUCGAGGAGCAGGCACAAGUUCGAGCUCUACACCAGGCAGGACAUUCCAUUCGCCAAAUUGCUGCCCAAAUUCGUCGCUCUAAGUGCGCUGUGAUCAACUACUUGAAAGAUCCUGCCAAGUAUGGAAAAAGAGCAGUGCCUGGAAGACCUUCAGUGCUCUCUGAGCUGGACGUUCGACAUAUUCAGCGACUGCUAUCAAACUCGACAUCAUCAAUCAGUCGUGUUAAGACCGACUUAUCGUUGAAUGUCUCGCUGAUGACUGUGUGGAGAGCAGCUA
rnacentral:ncRNA from 1 species